UUUGAAAGGGAAGAGAACAGUUUGCUCAGGAGGCUGAAAGAGGAAAAGCGGAUAACUAAAAACCCGAUAGUAAGUACUGUAAAGCAUGCCAUGAAGAGCAUUUU